GAACUGUGUCUCUGAGCUGCUUUACCUCGCACUAGGACGCCAUCCCACCGCUGCCACCAAUGUAACGGAUCGCCUGGCACCCCGACUGGGUACCUCCGUUGAAGGAUGCUCCUAGCGCUUCCUGAGGACACCAAGCACUCUGGCAGACACCACAAUCACCGAACCGGAGAAACAAAUAAAUUCUCCCAAGCAUAUGAAUGCUGUAGACAGUUGAAUAGGAACCAUACGAAUAGGUUUACUCUCCUAGCAGUCAAACUGGAACAGCAUACAAUAAAUCCUUCCACCAAUAAUGAGACGACACUUCACUUUGAGGGUUAAAACAGGAACUGCUGUGCUGGCACACCCAGCCUGGUUUUUAUUACAGCCUUUCACAUACAGGACCGCCCACAGGGAGGUAUAAAACAACCAAUCACAUAUCAGUUACAUCCCACAUAUUCCCUCCCCUUAUCCUGAGAGGAAACUCAAUUACACAUACAGUUAAAACAUACUUUCUACCCAACUUUCAUAACUUUAAAACCAUACAUCACAUUCACAUAAAAUUACAUAUUCACAAUCAAUCCAUUCAGGGGAACAACAUAAUAAAAAAUGGCAUGAGACCAGGGGUUCAAAAGUUAGUAAAAGUAUCUUUUGGGCCCUGGCUGGCACAUGGCUAUCUGGCUCAAACAGGUUUUACAGAGCCCUCUAUCCUGGAGACAAUGGGGAAAGUAAUCCAAUUAUCCAGGGAUAGAGGCAGACUCCAUUGAGCACAUGGUUGCAAAAAGACAUAAAACACUUUAAAAUACAUAAAGUCACCUUUUACACAUAACACACAGACAUUUCACAUAUCCCCAGAUAGCCGGGAUCUGAGCUAUCUGGGGAUAGCGCUCAGAUCCUAUUCACACAGUUCAAUUGCACAGUUCAAUUGCCAUGGAGCCGAAAUCUUUACACGAAUGGGCUCCAUGGCAUAGCUAUCUGGGUUAACACAUUCACAUAAAGUCUGGUCCAUAGUCCAAAGGCAAGAGGCGGGCAAGCAGCCCCCUCCAAGGACACGUGGCGAGGUCGGUUUCACUGCUGUGUGUGUGAGGGUGCUCUGUGUGUAAGGGUGCUUUUAGUGUGUGCAAGGGUGCUGUUAGUGUGUGCGCUGUGUGUGAGGGUGCUGUUAGUGUGUGCGUGUAUGUGUGAGGGUGCUGUGUGUGUAAGGGUGUUGUUAGUGUGAGGGUGCUGUUAGUGUGUGCUUUGUGUGUGUAUGUGUAAGGGCGCUGUUAGUGUGUGCUUUGUGUGUGUGAGGGUGCUGUUAGUGUGUGCGUGUAUGUGUGAGGGUGCUGUGUGUGUAAGGGUGUUGUUAGUGUGUGCUUUGUGUGUGUGAGGGUGAUGUUAGUGUGUGCAGGUAUGUGUGAGGGGGCUGUGUGUGUAAGGGUGUUGUUAGUGUGAGGGUGCUGUUAGUGUGUGUGUGUAAGGGUGUUGUUAGUGUGUGCAAUGUGUGUGUGAGGGUGCUGUUAGUGUGUGUAAGGGUGAUGUAUGUUUGUGUGUAAUGUGUGGGGGCCGUUUAGUUAAUAUUCCCCCUCCCUUCUUACCUUAUGUAGGGAGGGGGGACCGUGAUCCUGGUGGUCCAGUGGAGAGUGAACUCUAGCCCCCUGUGAGGCUAGAGUUCACUCUCGCGGGAUCUGAGCGUUGCCGCCGUAACCGCGGCAAUGCUCUGACCGCGCAAGAGGAACCCAGCGGAGCUACUGACAAGAGCUCCCUGGGUCCUCUCCUGCCUCCCUCCCUGCCUGUGGGUUGGCAUGCCAAGGGUUGUGGGUUGUGGCAUGCCAUGGGUUGUGGAUCUUUGAUCUCCCUCACCUGCCCAUGUAGGGAGGCACAUAGUGCGUGCCGCGGGGAUAAAGGUGUGCUUCACACUAACUUAGGGCUCCACGCUAUGUGCUUCACAUUGACAGAGGACUCACUUAGGGCUCCACGCUAUGUGCUUCACACUGACCGAGGGCUCUCUUAGGGCUCCACGCUAUGUGCUUCAUACUGACCGAGGGCUCUCUUAGGGCUCCACGCUAUGUGCUUCACACUGACCGAGGGCUCUCUUAGGGCUCCACGCUAUGUGCUUCAUACUGACCGAGGGCUCUCUUAGGGCUCCACGCUAUGUGCUUCACACUGACCGAGGGCUCUCUUAGGGCUCCACGCUAUGUGCUUCACACUGACCGAGGGCUCACUUAGGGCUCCAUGCUAUGUGCUUCACACUGAGCAAGGGCUCACUUAGGGCUCCAUGCUAUGUGCUUCAUACUGACCGAGGGCUCUCUUAGGGCUCCACGCUAUGUGCUUCAUACUGACCGAGGGCUCCACGCUAUGUGCUUCACACUGACUUAGGUCUCCAUGCUAUGUACUUCACACUGACCAAGGGCUCACUUAGGGCUCCACGCUAUGUGCUUCACACUGACCGAGGGCUCUCUUAGGGCUCCACUCUAUGUGCUACACUGAAGCAUCUAUGAGUAGCCAACAUCCCUGUAGUUGAUUAUGCCUGAGUCCCUGGCAUGUGCUGAGGAGAACCCGCAUCAGCAGCGGAUGGAGACGCUGCAAGGGACCCCCAGGUGAGUGUCAUCGUAACAUAUACACAGAUUCAAUAAUAAUAUGUGUGGCGAAAGUAACCUCACCACUGGCUUUUGGAGGAGCCUGUUUGCCAGCCUCCUGUCCUGUGACUAUGCCUCUAUUACAGACUUUGAUUAAAAAUACUGUUUGUGCCUUUUUGGACUUGUAUGGCUACACUUCGAACUCUCAAAGCUGCACUCCAAAUUCCCGAACAACCACACGAACCAGAGACCACCCUGGAGAUUGUUAACACCUAUUAACAACUUGGAACGUUCCUCACUGCAGUGUUGUAAUUGUUCUUCUGGGUGGCUGCAAUUCCUAUGGACUACCACGAGGUGGCGGCCAUCUUGUUCGCAUGAAUGCAGGCAGUGGUGUGUGGGCAUGAAUCACCCGAAAUCGGAUACAGAAACUCCCGAACACCGCUGGACUUCCAUCAUCGCCUGCAUUUGAUUCUAUACAACUUAGAAGGCACUGUUCGGUGAAAUCAUUCGUCUGGAUGAGGGAUACAAACACUAGGGUAAGACUAUUGACUCUGUUUGUUCGUUUGUUCGUUUUCAAAUUACCGAACUGGACCGACCACAGGCCCUGAUUCUUUGGAACUGUUUUGGGCAUGCCUGCGGUUGGUCAAAUAAAUGACUUCCAUAGAAUUCCUGAACCCCUGAACUGAUCUGGGUGAUUUGGUCACCCAGAUCAGGGCUAUCAGGGGAUGUAACAUUUGCGGGGAUAUUCUGUGUUUUUGGGGUACUUUUAGGGACUUUAUAAUAUGUGGGUUUUUUCUGCCUGGAGAUAAUUGAGUUAAUAUAGUAUCUCCCAGGGAGAGGGGAGGGAGUGUGUGCUGUGUGUGGGAGUGUUGUGCCUUGUAACCUUAAUGUUAUCGGUCUGUGACGUUGUAAAUCAGUCUACCAUCAGGUCCAUGUGGGCGUACCUCUUGCAUUUGGAAUGUCAUAUAAGGCCAAGUUUUGCACCAUUAAAAUCAGUUCCUCUUCACCCUCAACAUAGAGCCUCAUCUCAUGUGUGGAGGGUACAGCUAUAUUCACUCUGGUGAUUGCUAUACUCCUUAUACUCCCCUGGGUUCUAAUCACUAGUUCUUAUAAGAGCUGUUCCUGCUAUACUCUCUGGAGUAGGAGAGGUUCACCCACUGGAAGCUGGAUCCUGGUAUUGGGUCCUGGGUGGGUGAAGGACGGCGAGACCCCAACCAAGCUGCGGCAGUUUGUGGGGUCUACGGUGCUGGUGGUGUCUGGUGGAGUGCUUGGAGUCCUCGGUGAGCACUUGAUUGGCGGUCUGUCACAUUUGGUGGCAGCGGUGGGAUGGCUUCCUAGUGAGAGGAGAAGCACCCUGGAGACACUGUUUGUGGAUUUAUAAUUAAGGACAACGCUAGCAUUCGUGCAGCACCCCUGGAAGCAUAGGUGCCCACAGUCUUGGAGCAGGCCAGCAUGGCAUCCUCUGACUCUUCCUCAGAGUUUCUGUUCGAGGUGCAGCAGCGACUGGCCAGGUAUGGCUCUAAUGUGUCGAUGGAACCAGGUAACCGUCGAGAUACAAGCCAGGAGAGACUAUGUGUUCCUGAUGGCUAAAACGAGGGGAGGAGGUCUCCAGCAAAAAGAGGUUUGCAGCGGCCCUUCGGCAGAGGUGGUGCAACUGAUCUGGGAGGAUGCGCCCGCAGAUUUAAUGGACGUCAGAGGAUGUUAGUCUUUCUUCCCAGCGGCUGUACCCACAGGGAGAGGAGACAACUAGUCCAGGGAAGACUUCCAGACGGCAGGUGGAGAUGGGACUAAGGUCUUUCCUCCGGCCAUACAGGGAUGCUGGGCAGCCGGACCAGAUCCCCAGCUACAGCCGGAGUUACCAGGAGUGGGGACAGUCGGUCCUACUCCCCAGCAGCAGAGUAUGAUAUUGGGAGAAGAGACGGUUGGUCUCUCUCCCCAGCGGCAGUGUAUCCUACAGGGAGUGGAGACAAUCGGUCUCACACCCCAGCAGCGGUGUGCAGUACAGGGAGCGGAGGGUGUCGUCCUUCCUCCCCAGCAGUAGAGUGUGUUAUUGGGAGAGGAGACAGUCGGUCUUUCUCCCCAGCGGCAGACAGAGUUACAGAGAGAGGAGAGUAUGGUCCUCCAUCCCCAGCGGCAGGGUGAGUUACAGGGAGUGGAGAUGGUCAGUCUCACUCCCCAGCGGUAGAGUGUUACCGGGAGAGGAGACGGCCGGUCACUCUCCCCAGCGGCAGUAUGCAUUACAGGGAGAGGAGACGGCUGGUCACUCUCCCCAGCGGCAGCGGGAUAUACCAAGCUGCGGCAGUUCGUGGGGUCUACGGUGCUGAUGGUGUCUGGUUGAGUGCUUGGAGUCCUCAGUGAGCACUAGGAGCAUCGAUUGGCGGAGGUACCCAGUCGGGUUGCCAGGCGAUCCGUCACAAUCAGUCAUUGUAUAUUUUUUAUAACAAUUCAAAUAAAGGGUUUUGUUUCUGGUGAGUAAAAUAUUGCAGAAUCUCUUUAAAGGAGUAAAUCAGCUACAUUAACUAUGCAUAUUAUAGUUGAUUAGAUUUAUAUUAUUAUUUUUGCCAUUUAUAUAGCGCUAACAGAUUCCGUAGCGCUUUACAAUAUUAUAAGAGGGGGGUGUAACGGAUCACCUGGCACCCCGACUGGGUACCUCCGUUAAAGGAUGCUCCUAGCGCUUCCUGAGGACUCCAAGCACUGCAGCAGACACCACAACCACCGAACCGGAGAAGCAUAUGAAUCCUCUCAAGCAUAUGAAUGCUGUAGACAGUUGAAUAGGAACCAUACGAAUAGGUUUACUCUCCUGGCAGUCAAACUGGAACAGCAUACAAUAAAUCCUUCCCCCAAUAAUGAGACGACACUUCACUUUGAGG